GAUGAACGCUAGCUACAGGCUUAACACAUGCAAGUCGAGGGGCAGCAUGAACUUAGCUUGCUAAGUUUGAUGGCGACCGGCGCACGGGUGAGUAACACGUAUCCAACCUGCCGAUGACUCGGGGAUAGCCUUUCGAAAGAAAGAUUAAUACCCGAUGGCAUAGUUCUUCCGCAUGGUAGAACUAUUAAAGAAUUUCGGUCAUCGAUGGGGAUGCGUUCCAUUAGGUUGUUGGCGGGGUAACGGCCCACCAAGCCUUCGAUGGAUAGGGGUUCUGAGAGGAAGGUCCCCCACAUUGGAACUGAGACACGGUCCAAACUCCUACGGGAGGCAGCAGUGAGGAAUAUUGGUCAAUGGACGAGAGUCUGAACCAGCCAAGUAGCGUGAAGGAUGACUGCCCUAUGGGUUGUAAACUUCUUUUAUACGGGAAUAAAGUGAGGCACGUGUGCCUUUUUGUAUGUACCGUAUGAAUAAGGAUCGGCUAACUCCGUGCCAGCAGCCGCGGUAAUACGGAGGAUCCGAGCGUUAUCCGGAUUUAUUGGGUUUAAAGGGAGCGUAGGCGGACGCUUAAGUCAGUUGUGAAAGCUUGCGGCUCAACCGUAAAAUUGCAGUUGAUACUGGGUGUCUUGAGUACAGUAGAGGCAGGCGGAAUUCGUGGUGUAGCGGUGAAAUGCUUAGAUAUCACGAAGAACUCCGAUUGCGAAGGCAGCUUGCUGGACUGUAACUGACGCUGAUGCUCGAAAGUGUGGGUAUCAAACAGGAUUAGAUACCCUGGUAGUCCACACAGUAAACGAUGAAUACUCGCUGUUUGCGAUAUACAGUAAGCGGCCAAGCGAAAGCGUUAAGUAUUCCACCUGGGGAGUACGCCGGCAACGGUGAAACUCAAAGGAAUUGACGGGGGCCCGCACAAGCGGAGGAACAUGUGGUUUAAUUCGAUGAUACGCGAGGAACCUUACCCGGGCUUGAAUUGCAACUGAAUGAUGUGGAGACAUGUCAGCCGCAAGGCAGUUGUGAAGGUGCUGCAUGGUUGUCGUCAGCUCGUGCCGUGAGGUGUCGGCUUAAGUGCCAUAACGAGCGCAACCCUUAUCGAUAGUUACCAUCAGGUUAUGCUGGGGACUCUGUCGAGACUGCCGUCGUAAGAUGUGAGGAAGGUGGGGAUGACGUCAAAUCAGCACGGCCCUUACGUCCGGGGCUACACACGUGUUACAAUGGGGGGUACAGAAGGCAGCUACACGGCGACGUGAUGCUAAUCCCUAAAGCCUCUCUCAGUUCGGAUUGGAGUCUGCAACCCGACUCCAUGAAGCUGGAUUCGCUAGUAAUCGCGCAUCAGCCACGGCGCGGUGAAUACGUUCCCGGGCCU
rnacentral:rRNA from 1 species